rnacentral:rRNA from 1 species
GACAGAGGGUGCAAACGUUGCUCGGAAUUACUGGGCGUAAAGCGCGUGUAGGCGGAUCGGAAAGUCGGGCGUGAAAGCCCCAGGCUCAACCUGGGAACUGCACCCGAAACUCCCGGUCUGAGCGGUGGAGAGGGAAGUGGAAUUCCUGGUGUAGAGGUGAAAUUCGUAGAUAUCAGGAGGAACACCAGUGGCGAAGGCGGCUUCCUG